rnacentral:rRNA from 1 species
UACGAAGGGGGCUAGCGUUGCUCGGAAUCACUGGGCGUAAAGGGUGCGUAGGCGGGUCUUUAAGUCAGGGGUGAAAUCCUGGAGCUCAACUCCAGAACUGCCUUUGAUACUGAAGAGCUUGAGUCCGGGAGAGGUGAGUGGAACUGCGAGUGUAGAGGUGAAAUUCGUAGAUAUUCGCAAGAACACCAGUGGCGAAGGCGGCUCACUGGCCCGGUACUGACGCUGAGGUGCGAAAGCGUGGGGAGCAAACAGG